CAAAGAGCAAGAAGUCAAGGCUCCCUGGUUCUCUGUGUGACAGCAAAAGAAAUUGGAGGAGGGGUCACUGCUUCAGAAAGCAGUUUAGGAGAAAGCUGAGAGAAGAAGGGCUACAUCAACAAGAUGGAACCAUCAAGAUUUUUAAGUACAUCUAAGGAAUGUGCUUCCAGAACCACACCCUCAGUGCUCUGGGACAUCACUGCUUUCUGAUCAUAGCUCCUGAAUCCAUUAUCAAAUGCAACUUUCUCAAAAACAUCUCAGCUAAAGACACAACUGCACACUGGAAUCGAGACCUGCCAUUGAGCCACACUGAUCAUUAACCCAGUCCUAAGACAGUGAGCAAUCUCAAUGUGUCCUUUGUUCUGACACAGGAAGGUCCAUAGUCAGUGGGCUCCAAGGCAGGGCAGCAUGGCAGAAGAGAAACAGCUCACAGCACAGCAAGCAGGAAACAGCAUGACUUACUUCUUCUUUCCAAGCUGCAAGCCUAUUGGUUGAUGCCACCCACACCCAGGAUGGGUCUUCCCUCUUCAGUAAAUCCAUUGUUUAUACCCAAAAUUAUGCUAAACCAAUUGGACUAAUCUAGUAUCACACACCCAUGAUUAAAUCACUCCCAAAAGCCACACCUAUAAGCUCAUGAGGCUUUGGGAGGAUAUCUAGAUAUAAAUCAUAAUAACCAUUUACAGACACUAGACUGUGUCUGUAGGUAGAGCAGCAAUUUUUCUCCCAAUUACUGUCUCUAAUGUCCUUUAUGGCCACUUGACAGUCUUACAAGAAAACACUGUGUCCUUUUAGAACCUGCUAGAUGUUAAGGGCUGUGUCCUCACAUUACAUAUUCAGGCCAAGAUGAUUAGAAUUUAUAGAAGAAUCUAGAUGACUUCCACUUCAGCAAAUGAGACACGCAUGUGUGUGUGCACACACGCACACACACACACACACACACACAUAUACACACACAAGUCAGUUCAUGAGGAAAGCAGACCUCUCUCUUCCAGAAUGAGAGGCUGUCAACAUUUAUGAUUAAAAUGAAUUUUGAAAGAAAAAAAGGAUUCAUUCUACAGUACAUUUUGCUGAAUUAUAAAUAUAAUUGUAUACCAGAUUAACCUCUAACAGCAAAGUAGCCACAGGCAUGAUAUUCACUUUUCAUAAUAUUAUGUCCACAAUUGAAAGACUCAAGUUCAGGUUAAAUGUCAAUGAAAACCAAUUUUAAAUUUAAAAAGUCAAUUCUCAGGAGGCUUCUAUAAAUUAUUGCGGAAAAAGGAUUGUUUAAUUUGGAAUGUUGUGGUGGAUUGACUAAUGAUCAACUUGCAACGCCCAGCUGGACUGAAUCAGCGUGGUCUGGGCAUGGGGGAUCCACCUGAAGAUUGUUACCCAUAGCCAUGAAAAAGAACUGUGGGGGAAGAUCUUGACCUGUUGAUUUGUAGGAGAAGCUUGCUGUGGAUGGUUUUCCCAAUGCAAACUCGGCUGUUCUCAUCGGAGGAGGAGCUUGAGACCUUGCUAUCACUGGGAAUGGCUGCUGUUUUCAUCAAGGGAGCUCUGAUCUUCUCCAUGAGCAUCACUUCCUGGCUCUGAUGUGGAUCCCUCAGCUUGGUGGCAGAAAUCCCCCAUCUCACCAGCGUAGAUUUUCUGGCUUCCACCGCUGGCCUUUGGGCCUUCCAGGUGCAGAUUCUCAAUGCGGACAAGCAUGAUACAUUACCAUGGGCUCUAGGCCACUGGCUGGACUUGAGGAGGACAUUGGCUUGGACUCUAGGCCUUCAGCUGGACUUGUGUGAGGAACUGCUGGGAUCUAGGCCCUCAGUUGAAUCCUUUGGGCCUCUACUGUACAGUUAAUCUCUUGCACUCCUUUGCAUUUGACUGUUUGAAUAAUUAUCAUAAAAUAACCUUAUGUUAUGUGUCCUGUAUUUAAUGUAUUCCCUUGCCAAAUCUUUCUGACUACAACAAAUGUGAAACUAAAAGGAGUACUAGCAAAUUAUACAAAAUCUGUAAAACUCUACAAAAUGGCAGCAACAAGCCAGCCCUCAAAGCUUUGUGGUAUUUGUUGGUAAUAUUUCUCUUUGAUAUUUCAUAACACCUUCCUCAGGUGUUUCCCUGGGUUUCAGCUGUAGGAUUGCUUUUUUCCAGGUAGUCUCCACCAUUAGACCAUGAAUUCCUUGACAGCAGAAAACACAGUGUUUUGUAUCUCCUGAGGCUGAAGCAGACCCUAGUGCCUGGUGUGUGUGAAUGAAUGAAUGAAUGAAUGAGAGCAAAAAGCACAAAACAAAGAUACACCCUGUGACAUGUGAAUAUAUUAGCAGAGUAAGAAAAACAGUGCUAUGUGUACAAUGAUUGCAAAAUGGAUGCCAUU
rnacentral:lncRNA from 1 species